CGCCCAUCCCGAUCCUGAAGGACGACCGCACACAGAGCGCCUAUGGCGAGUACACGUUCGACUUCGAGACUGGAAACGGCAUCGUCAGGAACGAGGCUGGAAAGCAGGCUGAUGGCCAGGAGUCCUCGGGAGGAUGGAGCUACACCGCUCCCGAAGGCGUCCCCAUCAAGCUGAGCUUCACCUCCGGCGUGGGCGGUUACCAGCCCGUGGGCGAUCACCUUCCCGUGGCACCCACGCCAGUGCCUCUUCCCUACGAACGUCAGGACUACUGAACUCUCCUGCUUUCCUAAUAUCGAUGCGAAUAUGAAAUGAUCUAUAACAUAUCUAUCUUUUAUUAUUUAUUGAACGAAAUUCGUUCACACCAGAUUCGCUCAAUAAAAGGUUGACAUCUA